rnacentral:rRNA from 1 species
GGAGGAAAAGAAACCAACAGGGAUUGCCUUAGUAGCGGCGAGUGAAGCGGCAAAAGCUCAAAUUUGAAAUCUGGCACUUUCAGUGUCCGAGUUGUAAUUUGAAGAAGGUAUCUUUGGGUCUGGCUCUUGUCUAUGUUUCUUGGAACAGAACGUCACAGAGGGUGAGAAUCCCGUGCGAUGAGAUGUCCCAGACCUAUGUAAAGUUCCUUCGAAGAGUCGAGUUGUUUGGGAAUGCAGCUCUAAGUGGGUGGUAAAUUCCAUCUAAAGCUAAAUAUUGGCGAGAGACCGAUAGCGAACAAGUACAGUGAUGGAAAGAUGAAAAGAACUUUGAAAAGAGAGUGAAAAAGUACGUGAAAUUGUUGAAAGGGAAGGGCUUGAGAUCAGACUUGGUAUUUUGUAUGUUACUCUCUCGGGGGUGGCCUCUACAGUUUACCGGGCCAGCAUCAGUUUGAGCGGUAGGAUAAGUGCAAAGAAAUGUGGCACUGCUUCGGUAGUGUGUUAUAGUCUUUGUCGAUACUGCCAGCUUAGACUGAGGACUGCGGCUUCGGCCUAGGAUGUUGGCAUAAUGAUCUUAAGUCGCCCGUCUU